CUUGCUUCUCUUGAGAGCGGCGGACGGGUGAGUAAUGCCUAGGAAUCUGCCUGGUAGUGGGGGAUAACGUCCGGAAACGGACGCUAAUACCGCAUACGUCCUACGGGAGAAAGCAGGGGACCUUCGGGCCUUGCGCUAUCAGAUGAGCCUAGGUCGGAUUAGCUAGUUGGUGGGGUAAUGGCUCACCAAGGCGACGAUCCGUAACUGGUCUGAGAGGAUGAUCAGUCACACUGGAACUGAGACACGGUCCAGACUCCUACGGGAGGCAGCAGUGGGGAAUAUUGGACAAUGGGCGAAAGCCUGAUCCAGCCAUGCCGCGUGUGUGAAGAAGGUCUUCGGAUUGUAAAGCACUUUAAGUUGGGAGGAAGGGCAGUAAAUUAAUACUUUGCUGUUUUGACGUUACCGACAGAAUAAGCACCGGCUAACUCUGUGCCAGCAGCCGCGGUAAUACAGAGGGUGCAAGCGUUAAUCGGAAUUACUGGGCGUAAAGCGCGCGUAGGUGGUUCGUUAAGUUGGAUGUGAAAUCCCCGGGCUCAACCUGGGAACUGCAUUCAAAACUGACGAGCUAGAGUAUGGUAGAGGGUGGUGGAAUUUCCUGUGUAGCGGUGAAAUGCGUAGAUAUAGGAAGGAACACCAGUGGCGAAAGCGACCACCCUGGACUGAUACUGACACUGAGGUGCGAAAGCGUGGGGGAGCAAACAGGAUUAGAUACCCUGGUAUUCCACGCCGUAAACGAUGUCAAACUAGCCGUUGGGGAGCCUUGAGCUCUUAGUGGCGCACCUAACGCAUUUAAGUUGACCGCCUGGGG
rnacentral:rRNA from 1 species